rnacentral:rRNA from 1 species
CCUACGGGAGGCAGCAGUGGGGAAUAUUGGGCAAUGGGCGCAAGCCUGACCCAGCAAUGCCGCGUGAAGGAAGAAGGCUUCCGGGUUGUAAACUUCUUUGACAGGGGAAGAGCAGAAGACGGUACCCUGAAAACAAGCCACGGCUAACUACGUGCCAGCAGCCGCGGUAAUACGUAGGUGGCAAGCGUUGUCCGGAUUUACUGGGUGUAAAGGGCGUGUAGCCGGGAAGGUAAGUCAGAUGUGAAAUCUGGAGGCUCAACCUCCAAAUUGCAUUUGAAACUGUUUUUCUUGAGUACUGGAGAGGCAGACGGAAUUCCUGGUGUAGCGGUGAAAUGCGUAGAUAUAAGGAGGAACACCAGUGGCGAAGGCGGUCUGCUGGACAGCAACUGACGGUGAGGCGCGAAAGCGUGGGGAGCAAACAGGAUUAGAUACCCUUGUAGUC